rnacentral:lncRNA from 1 species
UGCAGUAUUUGUAAUCAGACUAUGACUGAACCAUGUUUUUUAUCAUGUUUCCAUGUGUUCUGUACUAAAUGUCUAAAUACUCAAAUAACUGUUGGCCAAAAUGACAAAUUAAUGUGUCCAAUAUGUGGGUUAAAUGAACCUGAUAAAAAUAGGUUAUUUGGUAACACGGACCAUACAAGAUCCUGAGACGUCAUGACGUGAAAAUUAUUUUUAAAGAAGAGAGUAUAAGUAUUCACGUUGCAAGAAUAACACAAAAAAGAAAGGGAUUGGUUGGUUAAGAACAAGCAUCACAAACUGAAAUUUAUUAUAUCGACGAUAUCAAAAUUCGAUUUAAAGGUCAAAUACCACACGAUCAAAUUGACUUAACUUGUAUAUAAUAUGUUUAUGUAAAAAUUUAAACAAAGAUCAAUCAUAUUAAUAACUUGUUAUAAAGUUUUUUAGUGGUUUAAUAUUGUAUUUGACUCUUUAAAAAAUCCUCUUCGGUUGUUCAUUGAAGUAAAAAACUUAUAAUGCGGGUUUCUUUGUUUCAUCAAAAAAAAAAAAAAAAAAAAAAAAAAAAUCCGGCUUGCUUUUAUGUCAUCACCACACAUAUAUAAUUAUAAUAUGUUGAAUAUUAGCAUUUCAAAAAUUAAAUCUUUUAUAUAUUUAUAAAAUAAGACACAAUUUAUUCAUGCAGGUUUACACCGAUAUUUAUUGAUUUUGAAUUCAUAAAAUCGUUUCAUUUUAGCACAUAUAUUUAUAUUACUCAUUUAUCAAAACAUAAAAUUAUGAUCCUUUAAUUAUAUGGAAUGUAAUUAAGAUUACUAAUUAAAUAAUAGUUGUUAUAAGAAAAGUCAAAAUUACUCAAUGGACAUAUUGAACAUCUAACAGCAAUCUUAGAAUCAUUAUCAUCACAGAAUCAUAAUUUUUCUUUCUUUCUAUAUUUUGGGUUAAAAUACUCAAAAAAUUUACAUCGAAGUUUCUUGAAAACUGUAUUUGAUACAAUCAAACUAACUAAAGGAUCGUAGUCAGUGUGUAAAGUACUACCAGAAUAGAAAAUUAAGUGUUUUUGUUUGUUUUUUUACUUUUCUUCUGAAUUACACCAUCUUUGGAAUUCUAGAUACAUUGAAUAAUCACGCAUCAUGCAGCUUAUUAUUUUUUUUUUGUUAGGAUGGACUAAAAAGUAAGGUGACUGAUCUUUUCUUUCUUUCAACAAAUCGCUCAUCUUAUAUUAUUCCCCGUAUUUUUUUUCAAGUUUUAUUACUAAAAUUAAAAGAUGAACCUAAUUUAUUUUCAAGUUACUAGUUGAUUAUGCACUAAUUAAGGACUCCUAUAAAGAAGAAAAAAAAAGAAGCUAUAUCUACUUAAAAACUUAAUUUUCGAAAUUUUUUUCAACACUUCUGCUAGACAAUUAUCUGCAGUAAUAUGUUAAUGGAAUUAAGACAUUAAUUUAAAUAAUUGUAAUGUGAAAACAUGUAUAUCCAAAUAAAGUUAACACUUUCAGUUUUGAGAGUAGAUGCACAUAUUUCUUAUUUUUUUUUUUUUUUUUUUUUUUUUUUUUAGAGAAAACAUUUAAGAAUAAUCGAAUUAUUAUAGAUCCUACAAUACUACCUUAUAAUUUACUUCAAGGUUACAUUAAAUGAUAUCCCACAAGUAAAAAUGCUAUACUUCAAAACUGAAAUAUAAAAACUAAAUAAAUAAAUUUAAGGAGUGAUAUGCAGAUACUACAAUGAUUUACCUUGGGGGAGUGGUUUGAAACGUCAGAAGAAUAUAAAUUACUCCAAAGGCGGUUUCAGUUGAUUUAUAUAAAUAAAAUCUCAAUAAUGUCCUCGGUCUACAACGAAGUUUAUUUAAGAUUUAGAAAAUAUUUAGAAAGAACCACUGUACAAUGGUAUAAAGGUCGGUUUAUUCUAAAUAAAGUCAUGGGAAUACCUUUUGAAGGUAUACAAUGUAGACUGGAUUAUAUGUGGAAGAUCUGGCAUCACCCUUGGAGGGUCAUAUAUGAAAGUUUGGAACUUCUGAAACAGAUUUUAAUGAUCUGGAGUCAGCAUAUACUCAACCAAACAACGAGGAAUACGCAGAGCUGAUCCCAAAAGGUGGUAAAUAGGAGAAAAUAAAGUUCCAGCAAUAGAAUGGGCAGACUUGUGAAGUACAAUGAGGACAAAAAUUGAAUUCUGGACGAGAUGAUAAUAUUUAGUAUUCUUUUAAAUAUUUUUAUGAUUUUAAUUAAAUCUGGAUGAUAAUUAGUUACGAGCUAGGUUUUCACAGUGAGAAGUAGUUCUAUCCGUUUUCAUAAUGUUCCCGUGAACUGGACCUCUAUACGAGUUAAUAGACUGUGGCAUACCAAAUCAUGAAACCCUACUUAUGAUUUUGGACAUCGCAUACAUCAUUGUCAGGGCCUAUGCCCAUCUAGUUGCCCGGUCGUAAACAGUAAGGAAAAAUCUAUUACCUUUCGGGAGAGGAAGGGGUUCCUACAAAGGUA